AUCUCAUGAACACGCUAAUUUAAGCUGUCUGUGAGUUGCUACAUUCAGACGACAUAUAUUUAAAUGUGUGUCAUCUGAGUGUAUCAGACGACAGCAAAUACGUCUUCUGUCGUCUGAUCCAAGUCGUCUGAAGCCAAAAAGGACGUAGUGGUUGUAUCCUCAUUACAAACUUCGACUCAUAAAGAGCCUAUAAUCUAAUAGCAAAUAGAUCAUAGGCAAUUGUUUCUAACCAAACUAAAGCAAGAAAAUAAAGCUCUCCAAUGUGAAAAGCAUGGACCAAGAGAAAUUGUGCAGCAAUAAAUAACAAAAACAAAAAAAACUGAAAUAGUAGGAAGGAAAUAGCAGAACUUCAAAGAACCUCCUUGCCCUUCAAGCUAGGGCUCAGGGGCGCUGCAAGCGGAGUCAUGGUAGGAGUCAGAUCUUCGUGAAUAACACUUCUUUUUGGUUUCCUAAUGGGACGCCCAUGCUUCUUCUUUUGGCUUUCAACUGGUUGAGGGGAGAUGGUGGGAGGUUUCUCCUCCUCUUGCAUCUUCUUCUUACCCUUUCUAUUUCAUGAACUAAUAGGGUGUCUUCUCUUUUUCUUGGGAGGAGCAAAGACACGAUCUGAGAGAUUGACAGCCUUCGAGUUAGCCAAGGCUAAGGAGGCCGCAUGCUUGACUAGGGUUUUGAAAACCCAAAGAGGAUGCUAACAUAUUGGCUAUGCUAGGGUUUUUACCAAAAAGAUGGCGAUGGAAUGGAAAACCCGGUCUUCAUUCCUUUCAAAGAGGGUGAGAGAUCAAUGUUUGGGUGUGCAAAGGUCAUGAGGAUGAUUGAAAAACAAGGAGAUCUGGUCCAAAACGAAGCUUUUGGGUUUGGUGGCUGUGCUCUGGGAGAGAGAGAAUGCUUUAGGGUUUUUAGGGUUUGGGUGUGUUUUUGAGAGAUAUUCAUAACAAAUAUACAGGCCCGCUCACCUGCGGGAUAGUAUUUACGGGACAGAAAGGGACAGAUCAACGAUGACCUUUAGAUUUAAAUGAAACUGAUCUGAGGGUUAAAACAAAAUCUAUCCCGAUUUGUGAGUUCACACUUGAUCAUUCCUUGCUCUCCUUUCAGUCCUCUCUCUCCGCUCUCUCCUCGCCGACCAUUCCAUGAGUCCAUGUAUGACAACGGUUGGACGUUAAAGACUCGAAACUGAGCACGGNNNNN
rnacentral:lncRNA from 1 species